rnacentral:rRNA from 1 species
GACGAACGCUGGCGGCGUGCUUAACACAUGCAAGUCGAACGGAAAGGCCCUGCUUUUGUGGGGUGCUCGAGUGGCGAACGGGUGAGUAACACGUGAGUAACCUGCCCUUGACUUUGGGAUAACUUCAGGAAACUGGGGCUAAUACCGGAUAGGAGCUCCUGCUGCAUGGUGGGUGUUGGAAAGUUUCGGCGGUUGGGGAUGGACUCGCGGCUUAUCAGCUUGUUGGUGGGGUAGUGGCUUACCAAGGCUUUGACGGGUAGCCGGCCUGAGAGGGUGACCGGCCACAUUGGGACUGAGAUACGGCCCAGACUCCUACGGGAGGCAGCAGUGGGGAAUAUUGCUCAAUGGGCGGAAGCCUGAUGCAGCAACGCCGCGUGCGGGAUGACGGCCUUCGGGUUGUAAACCGCUUUCGCCUGUGACGAAGCGUGAGUGACGGUAAUGGGUAAAGAAGCACCGGCUAACUACGUG